CGCAGAAACCCGGACAUUUCGUUAGGCUCAUAACCUGAAGGUCGUAGGUUCAAAUCCUACCCCCGCAACCA
rnacentral:tRNA from 1 species